AAACAAUAUAAUUAAAACGCAACGAGAUUCAUAAAAACGCUUUUUUACUAAUAUAGUAUAUUAAAUAUACUAUAAAUGAAGUUAGCAUAAAAUGAUACGAUUGAGCUAACAAUUUAAACAUGCGACAUUGUUCAACGAAGUCAUAUAUAAAACUUUGGUGGAAUUAAAGUUUUCAUAAGAUUUAAAAUGAACGAAAUUAAUUACAAUAAUUUUUUAUUCUAAAUGUUUUCAUAUCUUACAACAUAAAUAUUUUACUAGUUUUAAUGUACAAAACGUUUUGAAGGAAAAUAAAUAAUUACGGUUUGUCUU